GAUGAACGCUGGCGGCGUGCCUAAUACAUGCAAGUCGAGCGAACGGACGAGAAGCUUGCUUCUCUGAUGUUAGCGGCGGACGGGUGAGUAACGCGUGGAUAACCUACCUAUAAGACUGGGAUAACUUCGGGAAACCGGAGCUAAUACCGGAUAAUAUUUUGAACCGCAUGGUUCAAAAGUGAAAGACGGUCUUGCUGUCACUUAUAGAUGGAUCCGCGCUGCAUUAGCUAGUUGGUAAGGUAACGGCUUACCAAGGCAACGAUGCAUAGCCGACCUGAGAGGGGGAUCGGCCAAACUGGAACUGAGACACGGUCCAGACUCCUACGGGAGGCAGCAGUAGGGAAUCUUCCGAAAUGGGCGAAAGCCUGACGGAGCAACGCCGCGUGAGUGAUGAAGGUCUUCGGAUCGUAAAACUCUGUUAUUAGGGAAGAACAUAUGUGUAAGUAACUGUGCACAUCUUGACGGUACCUAAUCAGAAAGCCACGGCUAACUACGUG
rnacentral:rRNA from 1 species